CUGCUUUCUUCCGUAAGCAACACUCGUUACCACCUGGUACUGACGGUUCGCACAAUGGUACUGAGAACGCUCCGGUGCCAAGUUCAAGCAGCGCAUGCGAGUCAAGCACUGGUCUGGUACUUAAUCAGGUGACCGACAAACUAGUAAGUGCGUUGAGCACAAUUCUGACUACGGAGAUCGAGUAUCUAUGCCGAGUCAUUAGCAAUGGUCAAGAUAUGAAGACAUCGUGCAUUGCUAGGUUGACUCGCAAGGGUGGGCAUUUCAAUGGCGGCGAUUUUGCAUUUGUGCCAAGCUGUUGGUAAGCUAGACUCCUGUAUGCGCGGACCAUAUGUGGUUUUAGCGACGUUGUCGCAGGACAGAUAUGAACUAAAAUUAGUCGCUGGUUCUUAUGGUAAAGCUGCCGCGGAAUACAUGUUGCCCUGGCGCGGGGAAUGGACCCCUGAUGUGUGUGCCGCAUUCUUUGAGAGUGGCGCUGAUGAUGACGAUAGUCCUUCACCACAACCAUCGCACGUGAUACAAGAGUCAUCAGCAGGUCAAAUUUCAACAUGCCAACCUGCCUAUCAUCACACGGGCGAGGACGCACCGUCGUCAGGAGAGGCCGAAUAAGCUGUAAAAAGUCAAGUGACGUGUAGCAGUGGGGUAUACUGGACUAAACUGGUUUUCAGGCUAUAUAAGCACGGCGCGCUGUAUGGUCGGGUGCACUUCUUCGACGCUCGCACUAGA